rnacentral:rRNA from 1 species
GAUGAACGCUAGCGGCAGGCCUAAUACAUGCAAGUCGAACGGUGUCUUCGGACAUAGUGGCGCACGGGUGCGUAACACGUAUGCAACCUACCUUACAUUGGGGGAUAGCCUUUCGAAAGGGAGAUUAAUACCGCAUAAGACAGUAGCUGGGCAUCCAGCAGCUGUUAAAGAUUUAUCGAUGUAAGCUGGGCAUGCGUCCAAUUAGCUAGUUGGUGAGGUAACGGCACACCACGGCAAGGAUUGGUAGGGGAACUGAGAGGUCAAUCCCCCGCACUGGCACUGGGAUACGGGCCAGACUCCGACGGGAGCCAGCAGUAGGGAAUAUUGGGCAAUGGACGCAAGUCUGACCCAGCCAUGCCGCGUGCAGGAUGAAGGCGUUAUGCGUUGUAAACUGCUUUUAUACAGGAAGAAACGACUCUUGCGAGAGGCAUUGACGGUACUGUAUGAAUAAGCACCGGCUAACUCCGUGCCAGCAGCCGCCAGUAACAC